ensembl:lncRNA
UGUACUUAGACUGAAUUUAAUAAAAAUAAGGAUCAUUGUGUGACUAUAUCACCUGUCUUUGGUUCUGGAGAAAUAAUGCAUGGUUUACAGUGAGGCUGAGACUGAGUUUAAUAGUUAGGCUAAUCUUGACUGAUUUCUGGGUAGGCCCGUCCAUCCCACAAACACGAGUACAGAAAUCAGGUGUCCUGGCCCAUCAGACAAUGUAAAAUCUGAAGCCAGGCUGCUUGUUUCUUGGCAGAGGGUUGUGGCCCAAGUGGUAGGUAAUGGGGUCAGGCCCUCAGACCACUCAGGAGGUGUGGCCUGGCCCAGGUCUUGUUCAGGUGCAGAGCAUUCAGAGAGUUCAUUAAAUGUAACCUCUAAACCACCACUCAGGAAGGGCGUAGGCUUCACUGUGUGGCUGAAAGGCAAUGGUUGUACCACCAUUGCCUUAGGUCUCCUAGAAUGACUCAUCGAAUUUCUGUAAUACUCUCCAAAAUAUGUGUCUGGCAUCUGAAGGAGGAAGAAACACUCUGUACUUGAAGAUGCAAGAGAGAGGGGUGUCAUUGACAUCUGAUGAGUUCUGAGAACUUCUGAAGUAAAGAACCCCUGGAAAACUUCAGAUUAAACAAACAAGCACAACAAACAAGCAGAUAUCUAAUGGAGUCUGUGCAGGAGGAGCCCUGAGCACAUUGCUGCGUCACAUGGUUGUCACCAAGGAGCCAGAGACUGAAUAUUCCUGGGAAACAACGCUAAGUGGUCAGAGUCUAAGAGAAAAACAAGGGGAUGAAAAUGUCCUUGGAGGCCUAUUGCUGUAUGCAUGCAUGUACACACG